UACGUAGGUGGCGAGCGUUAUCCGGAUUUACUGGGUGUAAAGGGCGUGUAGGCGGGAGUGCAAGUCAGAUGUGAAAACUAUGGGCUCAACCCAUAGCCUGCAUUUGAAACUGUACUUCUUGAGUGCUGGAGAGGCAAUCGGAAUUCCGUGUGUAGCGGUGAAAUGCGUAGAUAUACGGAGGAACACCAGUGGCGAAGGCGGAUUGCUGGACAGUAACUGACGCUGAGGCGCGAAAGCGUGGGGAGCAAACA
rnacentral:rRNA from 1 species